UCUGCAAGAAAGACAUGGGUAGUGAGAUAGUGGCGUUUCAACCCGGUGGUGGGCUGGCGCCGGCUUAGUACUGGUAGAUCUCACUACCUUGUCUUUCAUGUUGAU
rfam:Anopheles christyi strain ACHKN1017 cont1.2075, whole genome shotgun sequence.